UACGUAGGGGGCAAGCGUUAUCCGGAUUCACUGGGCGUAAAGGGAGCGCAGGCGGCACGGCAAGUCUGGUGUGAAAACCCGGGGCUCAACCCCGGGGCUGCAUUGGAAACUGCCGGGCUGGAGUGUCGGAGGGGUAAGCGGAAUUCCUAGUGUAGCGGUGAAAUGCGUAGAUAUUAGGAGGAACACCAGUGGCGAAGGCGGCUUACUGGACGAUGACUGACGCUGAGGCUCGAAAGCGUGGGGAGCAAACAGG
rnacentral:rRNA from 1 species